UGGGGAAUCUUGCACAAUGGAGGGAACUCUGAUGCAGCGACGCCGCGUGAACGAAGAAGGCUUUCGAGUCGUAAAGUUCUUUUAUAUGGGAAGAUAAUGACGGUACCAUAAGAAAAAGCCCCGGCUAACUACGUGCCAGCAGCCGCGGUAAUACGUAGGGGGCUAGCGUUGUCCGGAAUCACUGGGCGUAAAGGGUUCGCAGGCGGAAAUGCAAGUCAGGUGUAAAAGGCAGUAGCUUAACUACUGUAAGCAUUUGAAACUGCAUAUCUGGAGAAGAGUAGAGGUAAGUGGAAUUUUUAGUGUAGCGGUGAAAUGCGUAGAUAUUAAAAAGAAUACCGGUGGCGAAGGCGGCUUACUGGGCUCAUUCUGACGCUGAGGAACGAAAGCGUGGGUAGCAAACAGG
rnacentral:rRNA from 1 species